AACUCGGGUCAUCAGGUUUAGCGGCAAGCACCUCCGCCCACUAAGACAUCUUAUCAUCCCGAAAUAGAAGUACUUAAAGGGCAGUUUGACACUGCGUCCAUUUCGCAAAGCUACAACAGUAUGGUCUCCCCUAGGACCUUUGACCUCCCUAGUCAUAGGUUCUUGUUUGUGUACAGUACCAGGCAUGAGUUUCCUCGUGUGGAGUAGAUCUCAAGUCAAAUCAGAAAGUGACUGGCGACCCUCAUAAGAGCUAUUAGAUGCCACGAUGGCACCAUUGGACACAUCUUGCCAGACACCCAUCUUUGGGAAAGUUUUACUUCCACCAAGCUGCAGAGGGUCCAGCUUCAUCAGUCUUCAAGGCCGUGGGCAGAUGUUAAAAACCCAGUCACAGUUGCUCGUUCCCAAGGAGAAUAGCCUUGUCCUCAACUUGGGUCAGGGAGCAGAGGCCUUCCUAUGGCUCUGCUUGAGCCAAUGAAAAAAAAUGGGCGCCUAUUUAGAAGGAACAGAAGAGCCCAGAAGCCUCUGGACUCCAAGAGGCAACAAGUCAAUGACGUGCUCAGCAGCCUGCAAGAUGAUGAAACCUCCCAGGCUGAGGGAGAAGUUCAUGGCCAGGAAUGCCUGCUCCCGAGAGCUCGCUGAUUGCCAUCCUCCCCGUUAGCAAAAACAGAUGUGUGCUCGCAGAGAAAGUAAACAUUUGAGCUCAGUAUAUGUUCCUCUUUGCAGAUCUCGUUUGGCACUUCAAUGCGAGCAGAUCGUCUCUGAAGCAGAGUGGAACUUUCCUAUAACGUCGGUGGCAAGUGACAGGCUCACAUCUGUAGAUUAGGUUAACUGUUAUAGCGAACGUCUACACAGUAGAUCUUUUUCUCUGCCAUGAGAAGACUCGGAGCUGUAACUCUACUGACAGGGAAUAAACAAGCGAGGGUGAGAUGUAAGAAAGAUCUUG